rnacentral:lncRNA from 1 species
AUCUAUUCCUCCCCGUCCCUACCCCACUAUGAAUCAGCCUCCUUAUAUCAGAGAAAACAUUCUGCAUUUUUUUUUGGGGGGGGGGAUUGGCUAACUUCAUUUAGCAUUAUCUUCUCCAACGCCAUCCAUUUACCUGCAAAUGCCAUGAUUUUAUUCUCUUUUAUUGCUGAGGAGGAGAUGAUUUUUGAGUUGGUCCUCAAGCUUUAAUAGAAGUUGAUCAGGUAGAUUCAGGAGAGACUGAUGCCUCCACUCCAUGGUCUGCAUGAGGUGUCACUCAUGCAGAGAUGAGAAGACUGUGUCAGGGCCCCCCCAGGUCUGCCAAAGUCUGGCACAGUGGGUGCAUGGGGAGCCAGUUCAAACGUCUGAGUGGGGUCAGGGAGUGGUCUCCUUCUAAGGAGAACAGGUACUAUCCUGAAGGUGUUAGGGAGGUAAAUACUUUGAUGCAGAGGGUGGUUAAAAUUGUGUACUUUUAAAAAGCUUUAUUUUAUUGGUUCUUCUUAGUUAUAUAUAACAGUAGAAUCCAUUUUGAUAAAAUUGUACAAGCACAGGAUAUAUCUUAUUCUAAGUAGGACCCCAUUCUUGUGGUUGGACACGAUGGUGGGAUGCACUUAAAUAUUUUCAGAUUUGUUCAUAGGAAAAUCAAGUUAUAUUUAUUCUACUGUCUUUCCUAACCCUAUCCCUCUUCCCUUCUUCCAUUUCCCUUUGUCUAAUCUACUAAACUUCUCUUCUUCCCCUCCUCCUUGCUUCUACAUAUCAGCGAAAACAUUUGACUUUUGGUUUUUUGGGGAUUAGCUUAUUUCAACUAGCAUGAUAACUCUAGAUCCAUCCUUUUACCAGCAAAUGUCAUAAAGUUAUUCUUCUUUAUGGCUCAGUAGUAUCCCAUUGUGUAUAUAUAUCACAAUUUCUUUAUCCAUUCAUCUGUUGUAGGGCACCUAGUUUGGUUCCAUAGCUUAG